GACGAACGCUGGCGGCGUGCUUAACACAUGCAAGUCGAACGAAGAGCGAUGGACGCUUGCUUCUAUCAAUCUUAGUGGCGAACGGGUGAGUAACGCGUAAUCAACCUGCCCUUCAGAGGGGGACAACAGUUGGAAACGACUGCUAAUACCGCAUACGAUCUAAUCUCGGCAUCGAGGAUAGAUGAAAGGUGGCCUCUACAUGUAAGCUAUCACUGAAGGAGGGGAUUGUGUCUGAUUAGCUAGUUGGAGGGGUAACGGCCCACCAAGGCGAUGAUCAGUAGCCGGUCUGAGAGGAUGAACGGCCACAUUGGGACUGAGACACGGCCCAGACUCCUACGGGAGGCAGCAGUGGGGAAUCGUCCGCAAGGGACGAAAGUCUGACGGAGCAACGCCGCGUGAGUGAUGACGGCCGUCGGGUUGUAAAGCUCUGUUAAUCGGGACGAAAGGCCUUCUUGCGAAUAGUGAGAAGGAUUGACGGUACCGGAAUAGAAAGCCACGGCUAACUACGUG
rnacentral:rRNA from 1 species